rnacentral:snRNA from 13 species
AGCUUUGUGCAGUGGCAGUAUCGUAGCCAAUGAGGUGUAUCUGAGACUCGAUUAUUGCUAUUUGAAAACUUUUCCCAGUACCCCGCCAUGACAACUUGAAAUAUAGUCGGCAUUGGCAAUUUUUGACAGUCUCUACGGAGA